CCCUUAGACGUUCUGGGCCGCACGCGCGCUACACUGACCAGUGCAACAAGCAUCCGUCCUUGGCCGACAGGCUCGGGCAAUCUCUGAACGCUGGUCGUGAUGGGGAUAGACUUUUGCAAUUUUUGGUCUUCAACGAGGAAUUCCUAGUAAACGCAAGUCAUCAACUUGCAUUGAUUACGUCCCUGCCCUUUGUACACACCGCCCGUCGCACCUACCGAUUGAAUGGUCCGGUGAAGCCUCCGGAUUGGCGCGCACCUCGGUGCCGCCGAGAAGUUGGCUAAACCUUACCAUUUAGAGGAAGGUGAAGUCGUAACA
rnacentral:rRNA from 1 species